UUGCUUUGUCAGUACAUGUACUGAUAUUAGGAUAAUACAGGGAAGAUUAGCAUAGCUCUUUCACAAGGAUGAGGCACAAAAUAAUAAAGUGCUCCAUAGCGUG